GACGAACGCUGGCGGCGUGCCUAACACAUGCAAGUCGAGCGGAGUCGAUCGACGGAAGCCUUCGGGCGGAAGAUGGUUGACUUAGCGGCGGAUGGGUGAGUAACGCGUGGGCAACCUGCCUCGAAGACCGGGAUAACAGCCCGAAAGGGCUGCUAAUACCGGAUGUGGUCAAGGAUCCGCAUGGAUUUUUGAUUAAAGGGGAAACCCGUUUCGAGAUGGGCCCGCGUCCUAUCAGCUAGUUGGUGAGGUAAAAGCUCACCAAGGCGACGACGGGUAGCCGGCCUGAGAGGGUGACCGGCCACACUGGAACUGAGACACGGUCCAGACUCCUACGGGGGCAGCAGUGGGGAAUCUUCCACAAUGGGCGAAAGCCUGAUGGAGCGACGCCGCGUGAGCGAAGAAGGCCUUCGGGUUGUAAAGCUCUGUCUGGAGGGACGAAGGAAGUGACGGUACCUCCGGAGGAAGCCACGGCUAACUACGUGCCAGCAGCCGCGGUAAGGCUACGUAGA
rnacentral:rRNA from 1 species